UGCCAGCCGCCGCGGUAAUACGGAGGGUGCGAGCGUUAAUCGGAAUCACUGGGCGUAAAGCGCGUGUAGGCGGUUCGUUAAGUCUGAUGUGAAAGCCCGGGGCUCAACCCCGGAAGUGCAUUGGAAACUGGCGAACUUGAGUACGGGAGAGGAAAGUGGAAUUCCGAGUGUAGGGGUGAAAUCCGUAGAUAUUCGGAGGAACACCAGUGGCGAAGGCGGCUUUCUGGACCGAUACUGACGCUGAGAUGCGAAAGCGUGGGGAGCAAACAGGAUUAGAUA
rnacentral:rRNA from 1 species